GGCGCGUUAGCAAAAUGGUUAUGCAGCGGAUUGCAAAUCCGCCUAUCUCGGUUCAAUUCCGAGACGCGCCUCCA
rnacentral:tRNA from 1 species